CCUACGGGUGGCAGCAGUGGGGAAUAUUGGGCAAUGGGCGAAAGCCUGACCCAGCAACGCCGCGUGAAGGAAGAAGGCUUUCGGGUUGUAAACUUCUUUUGUCAGGGACGAAGCAAGUGACGGUACCUGACGAAUAAGCCACGGCUAACUACGUGCCAGCAGCCGCGGUAAUACGUAGGUGGCAAGCGUUAUCCGGAUUUACUGGGUGUAAAGGGCGUGUAGGCGGGACUGCAAGUCAGAUGUGAAAACUCAGGGCUCAACCCUGAGCCUGCAUUUGAAACUGUAGUUCUUGAGUACUGGAGAGGCAGACGGAAUUCCUAGUGUAGCGGUGAAAUGCGUAGAUAUUAGGAGGAACACCAGUGGCGAAGGCGGUCUGCUGGACAGCAACUGACGCUGAGGCGCGAAAGCGUGGGGAGCAAACAGGAUUAGAUACCCCAGUAGUC
rnacentral:rRNA from 1 species